rnacentral:misc_RNA from 1 species
AUAAGCUGCCGUUAGUGACUCUUAAGUUGCAACGGUGGCUUUUUUUAUUU